UAAAGAAACGUGCCAGUCGGUGGCGUGAAAAUAACGUUUACUCGUUAUAUAAAGUUGGCUUGUUGGAUCUCUCAAUUUGAUCUAGAUCUUGAUAAUUAUGAAGUCGGUUUAGCGUUACUCACAGGCUAAAAAAUGGUUAGCGUUACUUGGCAGUACACGUUUAUUUGGAUCCGUAUCCAUGUGUCACGACAUCUCCAACUCAGUAAGAAGCAUCCUCAGGCAACUUCGUUAGAGAUCAAAACCGAAGCAGGGGAAGCUUGAGUCUCUUUCACUUUGCGUGCUGUGGCGGACAUGCCCAAAAAAGUGCUAAGCCUAACACACACCUCUUGACAAGCUAUUUGCACGAGAAUGAUUCUCGCUCAGAAUUGAGGAGCUAAAACCCUCUCGCACAUGACGGUGGAUUAAGCAGUAACUUCCUAUCUAACUCCCCCAAAUUCAUCUACAGCUUGGCAUGCAACGUGUUUGAUGAAAUCAAAUCAAGCAAAAGUGGGUCCCGUCUCAACUUUUUCUCCCUUCUAAGCUGUUGUUGAAAUUACUUUAAAAAGAUCAUAUCUUUCUCCAUCUCCUUCGUCAAGUGCGGCAUCGGCGGCCGAAAGAUCUGAGGAGACACUUGCACACAGAUGAUUGAACUAGCCAUUCUGAAUUUGGUCGUGGUGGUCACGAUAUUUAUCAUCCAAUGGGGAAAUUGUGAAGUUUCAACUGACCAGGCGAAUUGAAUAUUUCUAUCUUUCUUUCUUUCUUUCUUUCGUCAUUUUCAAAAGCAUUGACCUUUGCUUGACAGGUGGCCGUCCUCCUCUGUUUUCUCAUCACCCGUACCCAUUUUAGUUCCUGUUGCGUCUAAUGAACCUCACAUCGAUUCUGAUUCAUGAGGGCGUGGGAAGUGACCUAACCUAUGUAUACACAUGGAGAAGUAACUGACUUAGAACGUCAAAGUUAACUGCUCUCUUACGCCGUGUAUCCCGGCGGCAAUUCCUAUAAUUAUAAAGCUCAAACGCGUCUGAACUCUUUCUCACACAGCACAAUCAAUCGGCUCUGCACAUCCAAUUUCCUUGAGAAUAUGCAUCAUCUGAAAAACCCCACCAAAACCCAGUCUUUGGUUAGCUUCAUUUUGGUCUGCUCUUCAUUAGGGGUCGUUUAUCUUCUCGUGUCAUUGCUGGCUGUCCGUACUUCUACUUCUAUGGUUGUACAUGUGCAUUCUUCCUCACAAGAUGUGGCUGCGCAGACGUCACUUGAUCAUAUUGUGUUUGGAAUUGCUUCAAGCAUGAAAUCAUGGCCUAAGCGGAAGGAGUAUCUGAAGCUCUGGUGGAGACCCAAUCAGAUGAGGGGAUGUGUAUUUGUGGAAAGCCUUUCAGCUGAAGACCGGGCUAACAAUGCUAGCUCUUCUCUUCCUCCUCUCCGCGUUUCAGAGGACACUUCAAGAUUUCGUUACACCUUCCGAGGUGGAUCCCGGUCGGCAAUCCGUGUGGCACGCGUUGUUGCGGAGACUGUUGCUCUGAAUCAUUCUGAUGUACGAUGGUAUGUGUUUGGGGAUGAUGACACAGUUUUCUUUCCGGACAAUUUGUUGAAGACUCUCGCCAAAUAUGAUCACGAACUUUGGUACUAUAUCGGCGCGCACUCAGAGAUUUACGAGCAGAACCGAUUCUUUGGCUUUGGAAUGGCUUUCGGUGGAGCAGGUUUCGCCAUAAGUUCGUCUCUCGCAAAGGUUUUGGCUAAGGUUUUUGAUUCAUGCAUAGAAAGGUAUCCUCAUUUGUAUGGAAGUGAUAGUAGGGUGUACUCUUGCCUGACUGAGCUCGGCGUUGGAUUAACCCAUGAACCUGGUUUUCACCAGGUUGAUUUGCACGGAGAUAUGUUUGGUCUAUUGGCUGCACACCCUGUGACGCCCUUGUUAUCCCUCCAUCACAUGGAUUAUACAGACCCUAUCUUUCCUAACAUGACAAGAACACAAGCUCUAAGACGUUUGUUGGAGGCUGCUGAUGUGGAUUCGCAGAGGAUGCUGCAACAAACAGUUUGUUAUGACAGGUGGUUUUCAUGGACAAUAUCGGUGUCAUGGGGUUAUGCUGUUCAGGUUUUCCCGAGCCAUAUGUUCUUGCCGGAUGCUCUGACCGUGCAACAAACAUUCAGGCAGUGGAGGAAGGGAAAUGCUUUUGCAGGAGCUUUCACUUUUAACAAAAAAGACCCUCACCCCGACCCAUGCAGAAGACCCACCAUUUUUUACCUGGAUAGUUUGUCUUCAGGGGAGGAUGUGAUCAUAAGUAAUUAUACUAAACAUUACCAAAACUGCUCUUACGAUUCUGCUUCGCCGAGGAAACUGGAAGCCAUCAAAGUGGUUACAAAUAAGCUAGACCUUAACAUAAAACAGUUGCAGGCUCCGAGAAGGCAGUGCUGCGAUGUGUUGCCCUCUACCGCUCGUGACUUGAUGGAAAUUGCAAUAAGAGAUUGCAAAGAGGAAGAAUUGAUUUACAUGCAUUGAUGAAAGUACAGUAUAAAGCAUUUUUGAUAUGAACGGCAAAAAGAAAUAUUUGAAGGACAUGAUUAGAUGUACAAGGGAAUGCCCGCAUAUGGUUGCAGAAUCAUCAUCAGUCCAGAAUUCCGAUAGAUGCUAGGAGAUUUACUAGCUUACUCAACUUUUGAUGCACUAAUAGCACACCAGGCAAUAUACAACUAAAAGCAUUCAAGAACUUAAUAACUCAGCAGCAGCAGGCACCCUUGCCUUAGACCUCGUCUCAUGAUUCGUAAGAUUCCACGAACUCUAUCAUAUUAUAUCCUAGUUUGAAAUCAUGAGCACUUGGGCAGAAUCAUAACCUAAUGUCGGCAGAUUGAAUCAUGGGUCCGUAAAGGUUUUUGUCGGCAGUUUUGAGGCCGUAACAAGCGUUCAGCUGUUGGCUUCAUAGUUAGUCAUCAGUUCUUACUGUUGAAUGUUGACCGUCAAUGUUGAGAUCUGGACGGUGCGGAUGAGUGAUGAGCUCAUGAUGACUAUUACUGUGAUGCGGAUCGAAUCAAUAUUGAUGUAGCUUUUGUCGAUCUGGAAAUGGUACUCUGCGACCGGUUAAAUUGAAUAUGAUGUCCUAGUGCUCAAAUUCCCUAAACAUAAGGAGAUGCUGCUAGUUCAUUACAAUUCUAGCAGCUUGAGGGCCAAAAUGUGUCUUUGAUUGCAUAUUCUAAAACCAGAUCGAGAUAUGCAAGUUUGUUGCUUCUUCUAUAAUUUAUUGUUCUCUUGAUUGUCUCAACCAUUCCACAUUUAUCUUGUGUCAGCAAAUCAAAGGUGGUUCAACC